rnacentral:ncRNA from 1 species
AAAAUAAAGAAGGGAAUUGUUAACACAGUGAGAUUUCCCCCAGCGGCAGGUGGGGAGUUUGACUGGGGCGGUACACCUGUCAAAGCGUAACGCAGGUGUCCUAAGGCGAGCUCAGGGAGGACGGAAACCUCCCAUGGAGCAGAAGGGCAAAAGCUCGCUUGAUCUUAAUCCACUUUGCCACAUUUUCAGUGAUACUUGUGACCUUUUUUUUCCCCGUGAACCCCUGCCUCAGUCCAUGGGUGGAGAGG